CCUUUACGGACGCCAAUUUGCUUUUUGAAUGAAUAAAGUAUUGUAAAUAAAUAAAUGUUCACCAUUAAAAUAGAUGGUGCAUAAGUAUAGACACCCCUAUUGUAAAUUCCCAUUGGGGCAGGAAGAUUUUAUUUUUUAAAAGCCAAUUAUUUCAUGGAUCCAGGAUAUUUAUCCUGAUUAAGUUCCCUUAGCCUUUGGAAUUAAAAUAGUCCCACAUCAUCAAAUACCCUUCACUAUAUAGAUUUGCAUUGAGAAAUCAUUAGGCUUAUUAACAGCUGUAUCCAAAUUAAAAUACACUGCAUGCUCAGAAUAAGGUAAUAAUUAAACUUUUAUAGUUUAAUAGCCUACUUGAAAGGUCUAAUACAGGUCCCAAAAAGCUUCUUCUACGUCUAAAUUGAUUAUGCAUACCUAUAAUAUCUGUAUUCUUACACAGAUGCUUCACAAUAAGACUUUCAUUCAAUUCUAUGUGACUUCUGCUAUCUUAAUAAUAGUAUUCAGAGCAGAGAGGACAACGACACACAUGGCAGCAGACAAAGUUCCUGCUGAGUUUCAGUGAAUUAUACUUCCCCCUUCUUAUAUUAGCUCCACAGUGGUGAGGGUGAUUAUCUGCCCCCCAUUAACUUUAUCAGUAUUUAAAAUGGCUUCACUUUAACACAGCAACCAUCGAUGAUAACAUGACAGAUCUUAUUGUAAGCCUACAUGACCCAUAGACUACUGUAAAGAUAUGAUUGCAUAAAUACUGUAAGCUAACAGAAGAAGAAAAGGCUCACGAAAGACUGAGCCG